AGAAUCCCGGCCGACUUCAGCAUCCAGGAACACGGUGCAAUUCCGUGGCGGGCCCGCCGCUGUAAUCGGGGACGGAUGCCGCAAGGCUGGAUGCAAUGCAUCCGGCCAGCCACUGCCGGGGCCUACCCUGGUGGGAAGGCGCGGCCAAUCCGGGAGAUCCGAGAGCCAGAAGACCUGCUGAACGUCGUAUUUGUGAA
rnacentral:ncRNA from 1 species